CUAGUAUAAGCAAUCUAUACGGUGAAACUGCGAAUGGCUCAUUAAAUCAGUUAUCGUUUAUUUGAUAGUACCUUACUACUUGGAUAACCGUGGUAAUUCUAGAGCUAAUACAUGCUAAAAGGCCCGACUUCGGAAGGGUCGUAUUUAUUAGAUAAAAAACCAAUGCCCUUCGGGGCUCCUUGGUGAUUCAUAAUAACUUAACGAAUCGCAUGGCCUUGUGCCGGCGAUGGUUCAUUCAAAUUUCUGCCCUAUCAACUUUCGAUGGUAGGAUAGUGGCCUACCAUGGUUUCAACGGGUAACGGGGAAUUAGGGUUCUAUUCCGGAGAGGGAGCCUGAGAAACGGCUACCACAUCCAAGGAAGGCAGCAGGCGCGCAAAUUACCCAAUCCCGACACGGGGAGGUAGUGACAAUAAAUACUGAUACAGGGCUCUUUUGGGUCUUGUAAUUGGAAUGAGUACAAUUUAAAUCCCUUAACGAGGAACAAUUGGAGGGCAAGUCUGGUGCCAGCAGCCGCGGUAAUUCCAGCUCCAAUAGCGUAUAUUAAAGUUGUUGCAGUUAAAAAGCUCGUAGUUGAACCUUGGGCCUGGCUGGCCGGUCCGCCUCACCGCGUGCACUGGUCCGGCCGGGUCUUUCCUUCUGGGGAGCUGCAUGCCCUUCACUGGGUGUGUCAGGGAACCAGGACUUUUACUUUGAAAAAAUUAGAGUGUUCAAAGCAGGCCUAUGCUCGAAUACAUUAGCAUGGAAUAAUAGAAUAGGACGUGUGGUUCUAUUUUGUUGGUUUCUAGGACCGCCGUAAUGAUUAAUAGGGAUAGUCGGGGGCAUCAGUAUUCAAUUGUCAGAGGUGAAAUUCUUGGAUUUAUUGAAGACUAACUACUGCGAAAGCAUUUGCCAAGGAUGUUUUCAUUAAUCAGUGAACGAAAGUUAGGGGAUCGAAGACGAUCAGAUACCGUCGUAGUCUUAACCAUAAACUAUGCCGACU
rnacentral:rRNA from 1 species